CUUCCGUAGGUGAACCUGCGGAAGGAUCAUUAAUAUUAUUACUACACACGUUUCGAUUACCAAACACACACCCUUAUGUCAAACACACACAAUAACUAAAACUUUCAACAACGGAUCUCUUGGUUCUCGCAUCGAUGAAGAACGCAGCGAAUUGCGAUACGUAGUAUGACUUGCAGACGUGAAUCAUCGAAUCUUUGAACGCACAUUGCGCCUUGAGGCAUUCCUCAAGGCAUGCCUGUUUGGGCGUCGGCCCUUCUCAAGCCCCCCGGCUUGGUCUUUGCAAGAAAUCUCAACGCCCUUUGUCUAAGCACCAAAGGCCCCCAUUUCUUCCCCAAAUCAGGUAGGACUACCCGCUGAACUUAAGCAUAUCAAUAAGCGGAGGAAANAAGGAUCAUUAAUAUUAUUACUACACA
rnacentral:rRNA from 1 species